rnacentral:rRNA from 1 species
UACGGAGGGUGCGAGCGUUGUCCGGAAUCACUGGGCGUAAAGGGCGCGUAGGCGGCCUGAUAAGUAGGGGGUGAAAGUCAGCGGCUCAACCGCUGGACUGCCUUCGAGACUGUCGGGCUUGAGCAUGGUAGAGGCUGGCGGAAUUCCCGGUGUAGCGGUGGAAUGCGUAGAGAUCGGGAAGAACAUCGGUGGCGAAGGCGGCCAGCUGGGCCAUUGCUGACGCUGAGGCGCGACAGCGUGGGGAGCAAACAGG